rnacentral:lncRNA from 1 species
GGGGUUUUGGGGGGGCUGAGGGGGCCCUAUGGGGUUCUAUGGGAUUUUAUAGGGCUUUGGGGGGGUUCUAUGGGGCUCUAUGGGAUCCUAUGGGUUUUUAUGGGGCCAUAGGGGUUUUAUGAGGCUGUAUGGGAUCCUAUGGGGUUUCUAUGGGGCUCUAUGGGAUCCUAUGGGGUUUUAUGGGGCCAUAGGGGUUUCUAUGGGGCUCUAUGGGAUCCUAUGGGAUUUUUGGGGCUCUAUGGGAUCCUAUGGGAUUUUAUAGGGCUUGGGGGGGUUCUGUGGGGCUCUAUGGGAUCCUAUGGGGUUUUAUGCGGUUCUAUGGGAUCUUAUGGGAUUUUAUGCGCUCUAUGGGAUCCUAUGGGGUUUUAUGGGGCUCUAUGGGAUGCUAUGGGGUUUUUUGGGGCUCUGUGGGAUCCUAUGGGGUUUUAUGGGGCUCUAUGGGAUGCUAUUGGGUUUUUUGGGGCUCUGUGGGAUCCUAUGGGGUUUUAUGGGGCUCUAUGAGAUCCUAUUGGGUUUUUUGGGGCUCUGUGGGAUCCUAUGGGGUUUUAUGGGGCUCUGUAGGAUCCUAUGGGGUUUCUAUGGGGCUCUAUGGGAUCCUAUGGGGUUUUAUGGGCUCUAUAGGAUCCUAUGGAGUUUUAUGUGGCUCUAUGGGAUGCUAUGAGGUUUUUAUAGGGCCGGGGAGAUUCUAUGGGGUUCUCUGGGCUUUAUGGGGUUCUGUGGGGUUUUGGGGGGGCCGUAACCCUUCCCCUAAACCCCCCCCGCCCCACAGGUGCUGUUUUUGGGGCCGCUGAUGCAGCUGUGCAUGGACUGCCCAUGGCGAUGCAUGGAGGGGCUGCGGGGGCUGCUGGGUAAGGGGGGGUUUCUAUGGGGUUUCUGUGGGGCUGGGGGUCGGGGGGGCAGCGGGGGGGCGAUCUGUGGGUCAGGGGUCCGUGUGUGGGGCAGAGCGGUGGAUGUGUGGGUCAGUCAUCCAAUUGUGGGUCGGGCUGUGGGGCGGAAGGGUCAGUCUGUGGGUCAGUCUGUGGGUCCAUCCCCCCAAAUCUGUGGGUCAAUCUGUGGGUCCAUCCCCCCAUCUAUGGCUCAAUCUAUGGGUCAAUCUAUGGGUCCAUCCCCCCAUCUAGGGGUCCAUCUCUGGGUCCACCCCCCAACCUAUGGGUCCAUCUAUGGGUCAAUCUAUGGGUCCAUCUGUGGGUCCAUCCCCCCAACCUAUGGGUCAAUCUAUGGGUCGAUCUGUGGGUCCAUCCCCCCAUCUAUGGGUCCAUCUGUGGGUCCAUCUAUGUGUCCAUCUAUGGGUCAAUCUAUGGGUCCAUCCCCCCAUCUAUGGGUCAAUCUAUGGGUCCAUCUGUGGGUCAAUCUAUGGGUCCCUCCCCCAACCUAUGUGUCAAUCUAUGGGUCCAUGCCCCCAAUCUAUGGGUCAAUCUAUG